rnacentral:rRNA from 1 species
UGUGAAUUGCAGAAUUCCGUGAAUCAUCGAAUCUUUGAACGCACAUUGCGCCCUCUGGCAUUCCGGGGGGCAUGCCUGUUCGAGCGUCAUUU